rnacentral:rRNA from 1 species
AUACGGAGGGGGCUAGCGUUGUUCGGAAUUACUGGGCGUAAAGCGUACGUAGGCGGACUGAUCAGUUGGGGGUGAAAUCCCAGGGCUUAACCCUGGAACUGCCUUCAAUACUGUCAGUCUUGAGUAUGGGAGAGGUGAGUGGAAUUCCUAGUGUAGAGGUGAAAUUCAUAGAUAUUAGGAGGAACACCAGUGGCGAAGGCGGCUCACUGGCCCAUUACUGACGCUGAGGUACGAAAGCGUGGGGAGCAAACAGGAAUAGAAACCCUAGUAGUCC